rnacentral:rRNA from 1 species
UACAGAGGUCUCGAGCGUUAGGCGGAAUCACUGGGCUUAAAGCGUGUGUAGGCGGAUCGGUAAGUACCUUGUGAAAUCCCACAGCUUAACUGUGGAACUGCUUGGUAUACUGCCAGUCUUGAGCCACUUAGGGGCUACCGGAACAAAUGGUGGAGCGGUGAAAUGCGUAGAGAUCCGGAAGAACACCGGUGGCGAAGGCGGUCUGCUGGGCAGUUGCUGACACUGAGGCGCGACAGCGUGGGGAGCAAACAGG